rnacentral:rRNA from 1 species
GACGAACGCUGGCGGCGUGCUUAACACAUGCAAGUCGAACGGUGAAGCGCCUUCCUUUUUGGUGGGUGUGGAUGAGUGGCGAACGGGUGAGUAACACGUGAGUAACCUGCCCCCUUCUUCUGGAUAACCGCAUGAAAGUGUGGCUAAUACGGGAUAUUCUGGGUCUGUCGCAUGAUGGGUCUGGGAAAGAUAUUGUUUCGGUGGGGGAUGGGCUCGCGGCCUAUCAGCUUGUUGGUGGGGUGAUGGCCUACCAAGGCGGUGACGGGUAGCCGGCCUGAGAGGGUGGACGGUCACACUGGGACUGAGACACGGCCCAGACUCCUACGGGAGGCAGCAGUGGGGAAUAGUGCACAAUGGGCGCAAGCCUGAUGCAGCGACGCCGCGUGAGGGAUGGAGGCCUUCGGGUUGUGAACCUCUUUCGCCAGUGAAGCGGGCCUGCCUCGUUUGUGGGUGGGUUGACGGUAGCUGGAUAAGAAGCGCCGGCUAACUACGUG